AAACCCAGGGCAGAUGACAGGAACAAAUGCAGAGAAGCAAGAAACAGCAAUGUCUAUCAGGAAGAAGGUGGGGCUUCCAGACAGAAGGGCACUCCAACAUUGAAGAUGACAGCAGCAUAAGUACUCCAUAGGCCUACAAGAGGUAAUGCUUACACAGGCCUAAGAAAUAGAAAAUGGAAGCCAAGAUCCCAGGAAAAUGCUCUGAUGCAGCCCAACAAGAAGGACGAGAAGGGGACUCUUACACAGAAACUGGGUAAGGCUGGGAGCAGACUGCAAGCACGAAGUGACCCACAGACCUGGAGACCAGUGCCCAUCUAAUUCUGUAUCUGGGGCCCAGACAUGGCAGAGGUUUCUGAUUUUAUAAGAACUAUAUCUGUAAUCCAGAAACAACUAAAUUUCAAGCAUGCUAGGAAGC
rnacentral:lncRNA from 1 species